rnacentral:rRNA from 1 species
GACGAACGCUGGCGGCGUGCUUAACACAUGCAAGUCGAACGGUGAAGCGCCUUCCUUUUUGGUGGGUGUGGAUGAGUGGCGAACGGGUGAGUAACACGUGAGUAACCUGCCCCCUUCUCCUGGAUAACCGCAUGAAAGUGUGGCUAAUACGGGAUAUUCUGGUUCUGUCGCAUGAUGGGUCUGGGAAAGAUAUUGUUUCGGUGGGGGAUGGGCUCGCGGCCUAUCAGCUUGUUGGUGGGGUGGUGGCCUCCCAAGGCGGUGACGGGUAGCCGGCCUGAGAGGGUGGACGGUCACACUGGGGAGGGGACACGGCGGGGACUAGUACGGGAGGCAGCAGUGGGGAAUAGUGGACAAUGGGCGCAAGGCUGAAGCGGCGACGCCGCGUGAGGGAUGGAGGCCUUCGGGUUGUGAACCUCUUUCGCCAGUGAAGCAGGCCUGCCUGGUUUGUGGGUGGGUUGACGGUAGCUGGAGAAGAAGCGCCGGCUAACUACGUG